AGAAAUUUUAAUGAAAAUAUGUAUAAGAUCUUUAAAAUUGUUUAUAAAAAUAAUAUAUUAAGUAUGUAUAUUAAUAAAAUAUAUGUAUAUAAUUCAUCGGUUCGGUUCGGUUAUUUCUUCGAUUUUUUUCGAAUAAAAUCAUAACCAAACCAAAUACUAUCGGUUUUCAAAAAUCUAAAACCAAACCAAACCAAACCCAAAUAAAAUCGGUUUUAUUUUAUCGGUUUGGUUUGGUUUUUCGGUUUGGAUCGGUUUUUA
rnacentral:lncRNA from 1 species